GGGGUCGACCGGUAUCGAUGGGAGAUCCUUCCGCGCAGAGCAAGCCGAGGCGGUACCGGGCCUCGUAAAUCCCUGGUACAGAGAAGCCACUUGCCAAUCUCUUCUCGAAGGCCAAGAACCUGAUCGCUUCGGCGUUCACGGUUCCGACGCUUUCCUUGGUCACCGCCUAAUCGCGCUGACCCAUCCGCCGCCGUCGCGCCCGUAAGCGGCAUCGCGGGUGUCAUACUCCUCGGGCUUGGGACAAGAGGGCGACGCCGUCUCCUGUCCGACCCUGGCCUGCGUCACGCGAUGACGGGUUUCGUCCCGCUCAAACCGUCGUCGUGAACCCAGCGGGACUGAGCUUGGAUCCCUGUGACGGGAGGCCUUACCAGACGGGGGUUCGAUUCCCCCCGACUCCACCU
rnacentral:tmRNA from 1 species